rnacentral:rRNA from 1 species
AACCUCCGCAAUGUGAGAAAUCGCGACGGGGGGAUCCCAAGUGCCAUUCUUAACGGGAUUGCUUUUUCAUUAGUGUAAAGAGCUUUUGGAAUAAGGGCUGGGCAAGACCGGUGCCAGCCGCCGCGGUAACACCGGCAGCUCUAGUGGUAGCAGUUUUUAUUGGGCCUAAAGCGUCCGUAGCCGGUUUAAUAAGUCUCUGGUGAAAUCCUGUAGCUUAACUGUGGGAAUUGCUGGAGAUACUAUUAGACUUGAGACCGGGAGAGGUUAGAGGUACUCCCAGGGUAGAGGUGGAAUUCUGUAAUCCUGGGAGGACCGCCUGUUGCGAAGGCGUCUAACUGGAACGGUUCUGACGGUGAGGGACGAAAGUUAGGGGCGCGAACCGGAUUAGAUACCCGGGUAGUCCUAACUGUAAACGAUGCGGACUUGGUGUUGGGGUGGCUUUGAGCUGCUCCAGUGCCGAAGGGAAGCUGUUAAGUCCGCCGCCUGGGGAGUACGGUCGCAAGACUGAAACUUAAAGGAAUU